UGGGGAAUAUUGGACAAUGGAGGGAACUCUGACCCAGCCAUGCCGCGUGCAGGAUGAAGGCGUUAUGCGUUGUAAACUGCUUUUAUAUAGGAAGAAAUAGUCCUUGCGAGGAAAGUUGACGGUACUAUAUGAAUAAGCACCGGCUAACUCCGUGCCAGCAGCCGCGGUAAUACGGAGGGUGCAAGCGUUGUCCGGAUUUAUUGGGUUUAAAGGGUGCGUAGGCGGUUUAUUAAGUCAGUGGUGAAAGACGGUCGCUCAACGAUUGCAGUGCCAUUGAUACUGGUAGACUUGAGUAUGAUUGAGGUAGCUGGAAUGGAUAGUGUAGCGGUGAAAUGCAUAGAUAUUAUCCAGAACACCAAUUGCGUAGGCAAGUUACUAAGUCAUAACUGACGCUGAGGCACGAAAGUGUGGGUAUCAAACAGGAUUAGAUACCCGAGUAGUCCCUGAGCGGGCUGGCAAGGCGCAU
rnacentral:rRNA from 1 species